UCAGCCAAGUUGUAACAGAGUUGGCGGACACAGCUGGUGUCCGUUGGUGUACGGUCUGGGGCUGAGGCAUGAAGCUAGACUUACUCCAAGGAGGGUCACAUUCUUGAGUUCCCAAGAAGGGAGGCAUUGUCAAGACUUCAACAUGUCCUUUUGCAACUACACAGUCAGCAGCUUGGUCCCACCACGUGCAUCCUGCCUUAACGAUCUGCCUCACCCUCAGUCCAGGAACAACAGAGCGAAUGACCACACACUGAAGCCACGAGUCUAAGUCCGUCUUUCCUCCUUUAAGUUGUUUAUCUCAGGUAU